rnacentral:rRNA from 1 species
UACGUAGGGUGCAAGCGUUGUCCGGAAUUAUUGGGCGUAAAGAGCUCGUAGGCGGUUUGUCGCGUCUGCUGUGAAAACUCGGGGCUUAACCCCGGGCCUGCAGUGGGUACGGGCAGACUAGAGUGCGGUAGGGGAGACUGGAAUUCCUGGUGUAGCGGUGAAAUGCGCAGAUAUCAGGAGGAACACCGGUGGCGAAGGCGGGUCUCUGGACCACAACUGACGCUGAGGCGCGAAAGCUAGGGGAGCAAACAGG